CUUGCCUGAGAAAAAUUGCAGGUGUGGCUUCUGUGUCACAUAUAUGUCAGGAGGUGGCAGAGAGGGGAGACACUAUGUCUAUGCUCAGUGCUCUGACCUAUGAAGAUCUGAAUGAUUAGAAGCCUAGCAUU
ensembl:snoRNA LOC120103323 small nucleolar RNA SNORA17